rnacentral:rRNA from 1 species
ACGCUCGACUCCCUGCUCGCGCUCAGCGAUGACCUCGUCAAGUACAACAUCUUCAUCGAGGGCAUCUCCCACAAGAUCCGUCGGCAAAUCAAGGACCUGGAGCAUGCCGUAGGGGUCGAGCCCGGCACCCUCACCGUCGACGGCGUCCCCAUCGACAGCUACCUCACCGGGUCCGUCUCUGGCCGUGGCCAGUGCUGCUUCUUACAUUGCUCAUCUGCCUACCAGCGCUUGCUUACGUUGUACCCCGUCAACACCCCGCUCAAGGAGACCUUCGCCAGCAUCCAAUCCCAGGCCGCCAAGAUCGAGGAUGACAUGAAGCCGGAGGUGUACGAGUUCAAGAUCGGCGGCCAGUUUUUUCGGAGGCCUGGAGACCCACCCUUGGACCAAGUUAUCGAGAUUCUACAGAAGCACAAGGAUAAGUCUCAAGAUGAAAUCUAG